UACGUAGGGGGCGAGCGUUGUCCGGAUUUAUUGGGCGUAAAGAGCGUGUAGGCGGCCAGGUAGGUCAGCUGUGAAAACUCGAGGCUCAACCUCGAGAUGUCGGCUGAAACCAUCUGGCUAGAGUCCGGAAGAGGAGAAUGGAAUUCCCGGUGUAGCGGUGAAAUGCGCAGAUAUCGGGAAGAACACCCGUGGCGAAGGCGGUUCUCUGGGACGGUACUGGACGCUGAGACGCGAAAGCGUGGGGAGCGAACAGG
rnacentral:rRNA from 1 species